GAGCGACUCUGGUCCCUGGCCGUCUUUACCUUAUAUGGUAAUCAUAACCAUAUAUGUCACAACACAAACAUCUAUAAAUAAACGUUAUGAAUGAGUGUAAUAUGACCAUAUAUGAAGAAAGCGUAAUCAAAUAACGUGCGAGGGGUACCGAAUGGAGAAACAAGAAAAAAACAUCGUUGGAAUAAUCUCCCCUUUUGAUUGCACACGAGCUUUCAAACGGUUGAGAUCCGGUAUUGUAUACGUUUGUGACAUUGUUUUGAGAUCAAGAAGUCAUUUCGGCGCUUAUAUAUUUCAGUUUUGUUUUUGAACUUGCAAUAGCUAUCUUUUAAUUGUGAUUUGGUGUAUUUCGACGUUGUAAAGUGUAUAAUUCAAAGUGGCAUUCAUUUUCGCGACCAAGUCCUAGUAACUCGAUGUGCCCAAGACAGGAGAAAAGUGAACCGUAUUGCUGGGGACUCCAAUGCUCAUCGGAUUAAGGAUAUUCUUCCUGAUGAUAUAGCUGUCAAAUGCCUGCCAAUCUCUGAUGAGAAUAUGUAAUGACAUUGGUAUAGAACAGUAAUUACAGUUUCAGAGAUGUAGCUGACUUGUGCGAUUUGGUGCAUCAGGAGGCGCACAAUCGGUGUCCAGAAUGCAGGGUUGUUUGCUCCAACGAAGACGCUUUGCUGAGCCACUUCUGCAGUCGCCACAUCAAGCAACCAGAGACUGGAAAAGAGAGUAAAAUUAAGCUGAUAGGCUCACCAAUGAUUGCAUCUGCUAAUCAUGAACUCAACGAAGUCAGCUCAAGGAAGUGGAAGGCAUGCUUGGAAAAUAGAAGUUUCCAUUUUAUCCCAUUUUCACAGCGACAUUGACGGUAUAACACGUUGUGGGAUAUACUUGCUUGUAUUCAACACUGUGGAAUAUACCUGUCGCGUGCACGGACUACUUUUUAAAUGACGUCAUGCGAUAUGCGCUAAAAUUAGGUCGAUAUUGUUUGGUUCAUUGAUCGAAUUUUAAGGUCACCCAUUAGAAGAAAAUGUGCACAUUUUGCAGAAAAACAUAUAUCUGACAUAUUCACCAAAAGAAAUGUUGAAAUAAAAUAUGAAAUUACA